rnacentral:rRNA from 1 species
GUCUACGGCCAUGCUACCCUGAACAAGCCCGAUCCCGUCUGAUUUCGGAAGCUAAGCAGAAUCGGGCCUGGUUAGUACUUGGAUGGAAGACCAUCUAGGAAGACCAGAUGCUGUAGGAG